rnacentral:rRNA from 1 species
UACGAAGGGGGCUAGCGUUGCUCGGAAUCACUGGGCGUAAAGGGUGCGUAGGCGGGUCUUUAAGUCAGGGGUGAAAUCCUGGAGCUCAACUCCAGAACUGCCUUUGAUACUGAAGAUCUUGAGUUCGGGAGAGGUGAGUGGAACUGCGAGUGUAGAGGUGAAAUUCGUAGAUAUUCGCAAGAACACCAGUGGCGAAGGCGGCUCACUGGCCCGAUACUGACGCUGAGGCGCGAAAGCUAGG